UUACCAGGUCUUGACAUCCCUCGACAACCCAAGAGAUUGGGCGUUCCCCUUCGGGGGACAGGGUGACAGGUGGUGCAUGGUUGUCGUCAGCUCGUGUCGUGAGAUGUUGGGUUAAGUCCCGCAACGAGCGCAACCCUCGCCUCUAGUUGCCAGCAUUCGGUUGGGCACUCUAGAGGGACUGCCGGCGACAAGUCGGAGGAAGGUGGGGAUGACGUCAAAUCAUCAUGCCCCUUAUGACCUGGGCUACACACGUGCUACAAUGGGCGGUACAAAGGGCUGCGAACCCGCGAGGGGGAGCGAAUCCCAAAAAGCCGCUCUCAGUUCGGAUUGCAGGCUGCAACUCGCCUGCAUGAAGCCGGAAUCGCUAGUAAUCGCGGAUCAGCAUGCCGCGGUGAAUACGUUCCCGGGCCUU
rnacentral:rRNA from 1 species